AUCUAGCUGACGAGUCCCAAAUAGAACGAAACAAGCGUCUUCGAU
rfam:Schistosoma curassoni strain Dakar, Senegal genome assembly, scaffold: SCTD_scaffold0003746